GAUAAACGCUGGCGGCGCACAUAAGACAUGCAAGUCGAACGAACUUAAUUGAGAGCUUGCUCUCAAAGCGGUUAGUGGCGGACUGGUGAGUAACACGUAAGCAACCUGCCUAUUAGAGGGGAAUAACAGCGAGAAAUCGUUGCUAAUACCGCAUAUGCUGUGAGUAUCGCAUGAUACAAGCAGGAAAGGAGUAAUCCGCUAAUAGAUGGGCUUGCGUCUGAUUAGUUAGUUGGUGGGGUAACGGCCUACCAAGACGAUGAUCAGUAGCCGGACUGAGAGGUUGAACGGCCACAUUGGGACUGAGAUACGGCCCAGACUCCUACGGGAGGCAGCAGUCGGGAAUAUUGCGCAAUGGAGGAAACUCUGACGCAGUGACGCCGCGUGCAGGAAGAAGGUUUUCGGAUUGUAAACUGCUUUUAACAGGAAAGAAAAAAAUGACGGUACCUGUUGAAUAAGCUCCGGCUAACUACGUGCCAGCAGCCGCGGUAAUACGUAGGGAGCGAGCGUUAUCCGGAUUUAUUGGGUGUAAAGGGUGCGUAGACGGAAAUGUAAGUUAGUUGUGAAAUACCUCGGCUUAACUGAGGAACUGCAACUAAACUAUAUUUCUUGAGUAUCGGAGGGGUUUGUGGAAUUCCUAGUGUAGCGGUGAAAUGCGUAGAUAUUAGGAAGAACACCGGUGGCGAAGGCGACAAACUGGACGAUAACUGACGUUGAGGCACGAAAGUGUGGGGAGCAAACAGG
rnacentral:rRNA from 2 species